ACUCAGGAACAGCCAGAUGGAAGAUAAACACUGGACAAAGCAUGGGGAAAGGAUGCAGAGCUUCCAUGCCCUCUCCCCACAUCUCCGUCCUGAAACUGUCUGUAAGCAAGAGAACCAUUAGUGGUCCUGUUCAGCCAUGGGUCAGCACUGCAGUGGACACUUCCCCCAAGCAAGCAUCUGUGAGUGAGUCACUUGGCCCUGCCUCCUCCCCUUCCUCUGUAUAAAAGGCGGCUGAAUUUGAACUGAGAGAAGGUAGGUGUUUUUGAGACACUAGUCUACCAUCUUCUGGGUCUGCCAGCUUUCUUAUUAAAGUUGUUAUUCCUUGCCCCAACAACUCACCUCUAGAUUCACUGGCCUGUCAUGCAAUGAGCAGAGAGAACUUGGGUUCGACAUCAAUUCCUGGCAAGCCAGCCAGGAGCUCGCUGCUUUUGGCCAGCGCGCCCCGGCCCCAGUUGGGGAGUUUUGGGGUAAGGUCCUAGCAGAUGCCAGGACCACCUGUGCUGAGGAUCUUCCCAUUGAAAUUCCCUGAAGUAUCACCAGCUGGCCCAGUGCUUGGCAGCUGGAGCAAGGAAUCAACAUUUGGGAGCCAAGAGGCUCCAUACAAUCAGUGAGUUGCUCUGGUGUAUACAACCAGGAAAAUUCUUCCACCUCACUUAAGGCUUUAACGUUAAGAGAAAAGCCAAUGGGUUUUGCAUUUGAUUGGGGGUAUCCUGUUGGAUAGGGGAAUUGUUGGACUCUGUUUGAUUUUGAACUGGUUCAUUUGCUUUUGUUUUGCAUUCAUCCAUGAUGGAAUCUGCUUUUUCUAUUGGUAUUGGAAUUUUUUUGUGCUGUGUUGUUCUUGAACUUAUAACUAUGGGAAAUACUCCAUCUAUCCCUAAGGAAAGCCCCUUGGGACAUAAUAAAUGGGCAAAAUACAGCUGUGGGUGUAUGACUAAGAAAGAGAUGAUACUCUAUUGCAGUAGUGUGUGGUUUCAAUACAUAUGUGUUAGGAUCAGGAGAGAAAUGGCCCUUGAAUGGCUCACUUAAUAAUAUCAGCCAAUCUUAAAAUUAUAAUUGUUUUGUGAAAGAGAAGGUGAAAAUGAUGAGAUUCUAUAUAUACAAGCAUUUUUUUUUUCCUAUUGCCUCAGGAGGAAAAUAAGUCAGACAGCUGCCACCUUAUGGUACAGCAAUCUGAAAGGAAGACCAAGGGAAAACCUGUUUACAAGAAGGAGAGGGAGGGCAUGAGAGUGGUGUUCCUACCGCCACAUACCACCAGCAUAUAUACUAUCUCUGAUUCCCCCCCUUAUGGGGAUCAGUUAGAAGUUUCUAUGUUAAGCCCUAGGGCACAGGGGCCUAGUUUCAUGUCACCCUCAGACCCCACAGGGCACCCAAUUUGGACAGGGUGCAACUUUUUUUUUUUCGCAUUUUUGGGCUGCACUUGCAGCAUAUGGAGAUUCGCAGGCUAGGGGUUAAAUCGGAAGCAUGGCUGCCAGCCUACACCACAACCACAGCAAUGAGGGAUCCGAGCCUCGUCUGCAACCUACACCACAGCUCACAGCAAUGCUGGAUCCUUAACCCACUGAGUGAAGCCAGGGAUUGGGAUUGAACCCACCACCUCGUGGUUACUAAUCCGUUUCAUUUCCCACUGCACCACAACGGGAACACCGGGUGCUACUUCUGAAGCAGGGAAGUUUCCCUUAUGCUAAUACCCUGUAGGAGGCCUUAAGGCAGAUGGCCAACCAGCUGGGUUUCCAUGGAUGCAAAAGCCAUUCUCACCUUCAGAUUUGUUUAACUGGAAAAAGCUUAACUGUUUACUGAGAGGACCCCCUCCGUAUGACUGAACUUUUCACUUUUAUCUUUGCCACUCAGCAGACAGUCACACUCUUAUGAACAUGAUGCUUACUGGGGAUGAAAGGAGGAUGGUCACUGACAAGGCUAGAGAGGGAGCAAACCAGCUUCAUCUAGCAGAUCCAGACGGAACCCCAGAAGCAAAUCUGGCAGUUCCCACUGCUGAGCCUGACUAGGAUCCUGAUAAUGGAGAUAUGCUGCACCUAGAGCACUACAGGAAGUGUAUCUUAGUGGGUCGUUGCAAGGGGGUACCCAGGCAAAAGAGCUUAAACAAAAUUCAGGAGAUAUACCAAAAACCCAAUGAGGAUCCAUCAGAGUUUCUAAAAGAAUUUAUCCAGCCUAUAAGUGCUACACUGAGGCCCACGGAAAUAUGAGAAUGGUAACUAUGACUUUCAUUGGGCAAAGUGCCCCAGAUAUAAGAAGGAAAUGGCAAAAAGUUAGAUGGUGCAUGUGGAAUGAACCCUUCUCAGUUGGCAGAGUUUUUAAAGUGUUCAACAGCAGAGAAUAAUGACAAGCAAGAGGAUGCAAAACAGAACGCUACUUUUCUGGCAGCGCCAUUGCAUUCCCAGAAGGCAAGUAACAUGGAGAGAGGUAAGUCGUCGCUGGGGAGGGAACAAUGCACUUAAGGUAAGAAGGAAGGGCAUUGGAAAAAAGAGGCUAAAGAAUAAGACAACAGAAGUUCAGGAGCCUUUUUUAUGGUAGAAAGAGGAUGAAAAGGCCCAAGAGCUCCCUUGGUAACCCUUAAAAAUGUUGAAGCAAAAGCCCUGGGGGAGCCUACGCCAGAGCCACAGCAAUGCCAGAUCCGAGCCACAUCUGUGACCUACACCACAGUUCACCGCAACAUCGGAUCCUUAACCCACUGAGCAAGGCCAGGGAUCGAACCUGCCACCUCAUGAUUCCUAGUCGGAUUCAUUUCUGCUGCGCCAAGAUGGGAACUCUGGCUAUUAAAUACUUAUCCAACAAUUCCAGAACCAUGGUGCAGAUGGACUUCAGUUCGGACUCUACUUUCUCCCCAUAGUCCUUAAUCAGCUGCAACUUCUUGGAGGUGUCAGUCUUCUGCUCAAUUCUUGAGAUGACCCUCCAGGCGGACCUGCAGCCCCCUACCACGUUUUUACAGGCCACCAAGAGCAGGUUGCCUCCUCAAUGGACAGCUCGGCGCCUUGCUCUGUCACAGCCUUCAUGCAAGUGGUCAUGUCAUCGUAGCGCUCGGCCUCCUUGGCCAGCUUCGCCUUCUGGAUCGGUUCCAUCUUCUCCAUGGGGCCGGGGACAGGGCAGCGAGGGCGAGCACAGACCCGGACAGCAAGCAGGCAUGCGGAGGGCCUUCCCGCCGGAGCAGUCCCUGAGGAGACUGGAGAGGUGACCUGGCAUGUCCCGGCAACCUCUCGCACUGGGCGCCUAGAGCCGGGCGACGCAGGCUGGGCCGAAAGCCCAAGGC
rnacentral:lncRNA from 1 species